UGGCAGCUUGCAUGCUGACUCGGGUUAAAGACGCAGUGUCCUUUUUACGGCAAGGCUUACGGGACUCUGGCCACGUUAGUAACUCUGGGAGACUCCGAGCUCCUCAUAUCGGAUACGGGUGGAUGACGGUCAUUGGACGCCUGUUCUCACCGUGCUUUUCCCGCAUCCCCUCCUUGCCAACCCCCGGGAAGGCUCUUCGCAUGUAACAAACAAACGAAAUGAAUGUAUCUAUUUACUAAUGCUGGAAGAAACCGCAGUGAAAUCACGGCAAGAGUGACCCUUGCGUAAGAGAAAUAUGGGGCCUGGGGGGAAGCUGGGGUCGCCAGAGACGGGCCAGGUGUGCGCAGAGCUCUCCGCCGGCCCCCGCUGCGGAUGGAGAUGGAGAUGGAGCCGAAGACAGGCCCCUCGGGUCCCUGGUCGCAGCAGGGCGGCCCAGGGGAGGCUGGCUCACGGAGGGAGGGUUGAGGGGGCUCGCUCAGCUCUGCCACCUGUGCGAGGGGCUGGUGGCCAGCUCAGGCCAGGGACCUCGGGCCACCACAGUCCCUGGAGGCCACCUAGAACGGUCUGGGGGUGAAACACCGUGACAGUCCUGCCCCAGCGGCAGCGGCCCUCGUGCGAGGUUCGCUGGCCGCGGUCCGGCACAGAGUGUCCCCGGUCCGAGGCGGGGCUUCCACUGGCAAUGAUGGCAGAGCCGUGGAGGUGAGGGAGCACCUCCCGGGCUCCCCUCAGAGUGCCGGUGGGGCUCUGUCACCCCCACUUUCUCAGAUGGCGGCUCCACCUAGAGUCAAGGCGGGCGCCCCAGGGGGUCCCUGCCCUGGGGACCCCCAAACAAGGGGGUCCCUGCCCUGGGGACCCCCAAACAUCAGCCUCCUCCCCUGCAGGACCUCCGGGUCCCGAAGCUGAGAAAGGCCCCCCCUCAGCUGUGGCGAUGGGGGUGGGGGGGCGGAGACCAGAAUGGAGCUGUCGGGGUCCCUCGCUAGUAUGGUCCCACGUGUUGUAAUAAGUACCAUAUGUCACUUUUUAAAAA